rnacentral:lncRNA from 10 species
GAAAAAUUCUGAAAAUGAGAGCAGUGCAGAAGGAUUAGUCUCUCUAGGUAAUAAGGCAUAUUACACAAUCUCAAUAAGUAGAAGAGAGAGAUAAUGAUUCCUGAAUAGGCAAACAGACAGUAACACAGGCUAGAAAGUUCAGAAAUAGAAUUGAUUAACAAAGGAAUUUAGUAGAAUCAUUGGUGAAGGUGGUAUCAAAAUCCAAUGUUUGACAGUACACUCUCUUGGCAAGGCUGUGGGGAAGAAAAUGGUACAAGCUCCAAUUCCAUGGAGGUCUGCUGGCUCUGAGGAGCACCUAUUUCCUUUCUCGAAAACAUCUUCCAGGAUAUUUUGGUAUAGUGGAAUGAGAAGGUGCUUCUAUUUGAAAAGAUCCUUUUGAGACCGGCUAUGAAUACCUGCAAAGUGAGAGAAAUGAAAGAAGUCUAAACGUCCCCAUUUGGCUGUCAAUGCAUCUUGCGUUGCCUGGAGAGUUGCUCUCUGCCUAGCACUGACAGUAUAGAGUGGGAUAUUUCUGCCCUGGGAGUUCCCAGCAUCACAGUCAAAUAGAACCCCAGACUGCUUUCCUGAGUGUGCUGAGGUUUCUGGCUAGCCUGGCUCAAAUUCCUUGGGGGAGGAAUCACCUUUGCCUGACAUGUUAUCUCUGUGACCACCAGUUUGUUAACUGUUUAUUUCAAAUGCUAUUGAUGUUAGUCAACUUUAUAGCAUGUGCACUUUGUUGACAUUUAAAAAAAUGCCUUUAUAUGUUUGCUCAUUCGUUUUAAUUUAUGGCAUGGGAGGAACAUGUUUCAGAUCACAAGAGUAGAAUGAAAACAUAAGAUUAUUCACCAGUGGGAAGUACCAGAAAAGGUUGUAAUUGAACAUAAUAACUUUCAGUAUUUUCCUUAAAACUUGUGUAGGUAUUUUAUUCCUAAAUUUUUACAUUAUUUUAAAUAUAUGUAAUAUUUUGCCUAGUUUGAAAGACGAGCAUUUUGAUUUUGAGACUGUGGAAAAAUCAGAGAAGUCUAAGGGGACAUUAAAAAACCAAACCCUCUAAAUUCAAUACUUAACAUUUUGUUCAGUCUCUUUUUACUCUUUUUUUUGCUGUAACAGGGAUCUUUUUCCUGCAACUUCUAGUGAGGAAAGCUUGUUUUAAGAUCUCUUGUUUCAUUAUGACAAGGACAGUGAUUGAGCUCCCUUGUGGAGAGGAGGAGGAUGAGUCAGCCAAAGUGACAUGGAAAGGACACAAAUAGAAACAGAACUGGACCACCUCCAGGGCAGCUAGGGUUUGCAUGUUCCUAUGACGCUAGGACUUCAGGAAGAGUUGCCUGAGCCCCAGAAGGUCCUGUAGAUCCCUCUGCACUGGACUCCAUAUGCCCACAUGUCAGCCUCCACAGCUGCGAGGCUGAGAUAUGGAGCUCUCAGUGACCAUCCUCCUGGCUUGAAAGCUAUUUCUCCCAUAGGCCUGAAGUUCCUCUUGCUAUGUAAGGUCUAUUUCUUGGCUCCAACAGAGAUAGAACCUGUUCUCUGUUCUCAGGAUGGCAAAUGGGCCCAUGGAAAGGACUUGGAGUUCACAACCAGGCGGCCCUGGCCCUAACUCUAGCUCGGUCACUUGGUAGUUUUAUAAUCAUGAGCAGCAUUAUUUAAGUUCUCUUAGUUUUCUUGACUGUGACAUGGGGCUACUAAAAGCUACCCUGCAGGGUCAUUGUAAAAAUUAGAGAUAAUGGAUAUUCAUUGACUGUAGCUUAACAGGCA